AGUGAACGCUGGCGGCGUGCCUAACACAUGCAAGUCGAACGGUGCGGCGCACGGGCGGGUAAGGUAUAGCUAAUAUGCCCUACACUGGAGGGAAACCGUUGGAAACGACUGCUAAUAUUCUAUAUGGUAGGAUGAGGCUAUAUUGUCUCAGCUAGUUGGUGAGGUAUUGGCUCACCCAUGCUAUGACGUAUCACUGGGCUGAGAGGAUGAUCAGUCAGGCUGGAACUGAGACACGGGCCGGACUCCUGCGGGAAGCAGCAGAAGGGAAUAUCGCGCAAUGGGUGAAACACUGAAGCCGCAACGCCGGGGGGAGGAUGACACUUUUCGGAGCGUAAAAUCCGUUUGAUAGGGAAGCGGUACCUGGCGAAUAAGCACCGGCUAACUCCGUGCCAGCAGCCGCGGUAAUUC
rnacentral:rRNA from 1 species